UACGUGGGGUGCAAACGUUGCUCGGAAUUAUUGGGCGUAAAGAGCUCGUAGGCGGUUUGUUGCGUCGGCUGUGAAAUCCCGAGGCUCAACCUCGGGUCUGCAGUCGAUACGAGCAAACUAGAGUGUUGCAGGGGAGACUGGAAUUCCUGGUGUAGCGGUGAAAUGCGCAGAUAUCAGGAGGAACACCGGUGGCGAAGGCGGGUCUCUGGGCAACAACUGACGCUGAGGAGCGAAAGCGUGGGGAGCGAACAGG
rnacentral:rRNA from 1 species